rnacentral:rRNA from 1 species
AUACAGAGGGUGCGAGCGUUAAUCGGAAUUACUGGGCGUAAAGCGCGCGUAGGCGGCUUAUUAAGUCAGAUGUGAAAUCCCCGGGCUCAACCUGGGAACUGCAUCUGAUACUGGUAAGCUAGAGUUUGGGAGAGGGAAGUAGAAUUUCAGGUGUAGCGGUGAAAUGCAUAGAGAUCUGAAGGAAUACCAGUGGCGAAGGCGACUUCCUGGCCUAAAACUGACGCUGAGGUGCGAAAGCGUGGGUAGCGAACAGGAGUAGAAACCCUAGUAGUCC